UACGGAGGGGGCUAGCGUUGUUCGGAAUUACUGGGCGUAAAGCGAACGUAGGCGGUGUUCCAUGUCAGAGGUGAAAGCCUGGGGCUCAACUCCAGAAUUGCCUUUGAAACGGGAACGCUUGAGUCCGAGAGAGGGUGGCGGAAUUCCUAGUGUAGAGGUGAAAUUCGUAGAUAUUAGGAAGAACACCAGUGGCGAAGGCGGCCACCUGGCUCGGUACUGACGCUGAGGCACGAAAGCGUGGGGAGCAAACAGG
rnacentral:rRNA from 1 species